UUUCUGCACAAGUUCAACGGUGGACAAUGAACAUUCAAUUUCAACGGUGGAUAAGAUUGGACAGAGAGAGAACAAAGAAGAUGCUCAAAGAAAGGGAUGCAAUGCUCGGUUUGCAGAUGAAGGAGAUUGAAAACAGAGGUCAAAUCCAGAAGAUGGUUAGAUGGUUGAGAUUAAUGUUGAUUGGGUGUUCAGAUUGAAUCAACUUUAUUAUCAACCCAUUAGAAAAGGAGCAGCAAAAGAAGGUCACUGGUACACCAUCAAUUAAGAUUGAGAAUUUUGAGGAGAUGGAGGAAUCAGUAGGUGAGAGCACACCACAAGCUGAGUUCUGCUUCCAUCGAUAUCGAAAUUGUUACAGCAAAAGGGAUAUUAUGAUUACCAAAUCUGUUUAAUUUCCUUCAAGAGUGCAGCACUUGAUAAUUUUUG